GCUGUGCAGUGAGAGGAGUCCCUAGGUACUUGGAGCUGGCAAGAAACCCAUAUUGGUGGAGGUAAAAGCCUCAGCCAGAGGCAAAUCCCAGCUUGUCCAGGUGUCUGGAUUCCAGGCCCUGGAAGGCAAAGGGAGCUUGGCAUCUGCUAAGCAGCGUCAGCUAGCGCUAGUCAGUGGCUGGAAGAAGGGACUGGCCUCACUGUCUGCAUGAUGCUUGCACCCAUUGACGGGGAUGCUCUGGAAAGCUCGCUGCAUGCCCUUCGUUCACGGCAGGGUCUCUGCAGGACAUAAGGGAGGGUGUUGCAAUGGGAAGCUAUGCCCUUGCAUAGCUGGUCUGGUCUGACUGUGCUGCAUGUAUGGCAGACGUUGCUGCUCUUGCGCUUGCUGAGUGGAGGCUCUCUCUUGAUGCACAUGGAUUUUUUUUAACUCGUCUGUGGAUCUUUACUGAUGAGGAAUUAACUAACAAGCAGGGCUCACGCUGGGAAAUCUGUCCAUAAACCAUCAAGUGCUCUCAGCGUCUUUGCUCCGCUUUUGCAGCCGGCUGACGGCAGGGACCAAUUCUCUACCUGGCUCCAGCCAGAGGGCAGCCCGGGAAAGGGCAACUCCUCCUGAGCCGAUGCAACUUAUUGACUCGGCUCCUGCUGUCCCCUGUGUUGAGCUCCUCUUGUCAAGUCAUUGGGAGCAUUGGAUGCUCUUCUUGCUCUUUGUUUUUGUUGUUUGUUUUUCCUUCUGAUAAAACCAUCUUUCCCCAGCUGUCAAAAGUGUCCUUUCUGGCUCCUUGUGAUCACCCACCCCGGUGCCCUCUCAUGCCGUGUGGCCCCCUCCCCGGCAUCUCUUGUCACAGGAACAGCCUCCAAGGACCUCCUCACUGCAUCGACUCCCCAGCAUGCUUCAAGUCUUGGGCCAAGCAGCUCUGCAGAUGUUCCCCGCGCAGAACCCACCG